AGGUGCCUGCAGUACCUCCAGAAUGCGCACCCCAGGAGAGCUCCCCUGGGCAGAGCAGCUCUUCGCAGGAGGGGGAAGCACCAUCCCCCAGGAAGAGACCACACACCUGCGAAGAGGAGAGCGACGGCCCACCGCCCAAGAGAAGGCGAAUGCUGGCCGCAGACAGCUCAGCGAUGGACGACUGAGACAACCCAAGCAGGGUUGUAGAGGUGGCUGAAGACAUCACCCUCAUGCUGCCACCCGCUUGGCUCAGAUGGACGGUCUAGCAGGGGUUCCGAGAAAGAAGAUCACUUCUCGACCUUCCUGCAGAACUUUCACGUUUCUUUUCACAUGCCCGUUGGCAAUUUUCAGAUAGUUACAAUAGGGUUUUCAGCCAGUAGGGCAAGAGAGUUUGUUUGUUAGUUACUAACUAAGUUAGUAAGCUAGUUAGUAAGGUAGUAAGUUAGUUAGUUAGUUAGUUAGUUAGUUAGUUAGUUAGUUAGUUAGUUUCUAGUGUAGGUAGCUGUGUACUGAAUACAUUUCGUUCACAUCCCAGUUUUCACUUUCACGUUAUUUACAAAAGCGUUUUGAGCCAAUUUGGCAAGAGAGUUCGUAAGUUUAGUUUCUACUGUAGGUGUAGAUGUAGGUGUUCACUGUCAAGGCCCACUGAACUCGGCUCUCAUGCGACCGUCACUACUCUUCGUCUUCAAGUGAAGCGCCGCGUCAGAAGAGGAUGUGGUCCAAAGAAGGAUUUCUUUGGCCCCUAAGCACUUCAGGCUUUCUGAAAUCAAAUCUGAGCUAGCAGGAGAUGCAGACUGAU